rnacentral:tRNA from 1 species
GCACCGGUAGCUCAAUUGGAUAGAGCACUUGGCUUCGGACCAAGCGGUUAGGGGUUCAACUCCCUUCCGGUGCG